GGCCCCUUCGUCUAGCGGUCCAGGACUCCGGGUUCUCAGUCCGGCAAUCGCGGGUUCGAAUCCCGCAGGGGUCACCA
rnacentral:tRNA from 1 species